rnacentral:rRNA from 1 species
ACGAGUUUGAUCCUGGCUCAGAUUGAACGCUGGCGGCAUGCCUUACACAUGCAAGUCGAACGGCAGGCACGGGAGCAAUCCUGGUGGCGAGUGGCGAACGGGUGAGUAAUAUAUCGGAACGUGCCCAGUCUGGGGGGAUAACGUAGCGAAAGCUACGCUAAUACCGCAUACGAUCUAUGGAUGAAANCGGGGGAUCGCAAGACCUCGCGCGAUUGGAGCGGCCGAUAUCAGAUUAGGUAGUUGGUGAGGUAAAAGGGCUCACCCAAGCCGACGAUCUGUAGCUGGUCUGAGAGGACGACCAGCCACACUGGGACUGAGACACGGCCCAGACUCCUACGGGAGGCAGCAGUGGGGAAUAUUGGACAAUGGGCGAAAGCCUGAUCCAGCAAUGCCGCGUGAGUGAUGAAGGCCUUCGGGUUGUAAAGCUCUUUUACUCGGGACGAUAAUGACGGUACCGAGAGAAUAAGCCCCGGCUAACUCCGUG